rnacentral:rRNA from 1 species
CUAGCUGUAAACGAUGGAUACUAGGCGUUGAGAGUAUCGACCCUCUCAGUGUCGUAGCUAACGCGUUAAGUAUCCCGCCUGGGGAGUACGCGCGCAAGCGUGAAACUCAAAGGAAUUGACGGGGGCCCGCACAAGCGGUGGAGUAUGUGGUUUAGUUCGAUGCAACGCGAAGAACCUUACCAGGGCUUGACAUGUCCGGAACCCUGCCCAAAGGCGGGGGUGCCUACGGGAACCGGAACACAGGUGGUGC